rnacentral:lncRNA from 1 species
UAGGAAAAAGGGGGGGCAAAUUUUGGAGUACAACAACAGCCCCUAUUUAAUCUUCUUGAACCUGAAUACAGGAAUUACGGAAGCUUUUCAGGUAUUCUAGGUGGAAGAGGAUUAAAUAUCGACGUAUCCAAAAAUUUUCUUCAAUAGGUGGUUGGAGCCAUCACCGGCUUUUGAUGUUUACGUGGGGUAUCAUGGUGUAGAAUAUGAUAUAUGCAGUGCUUGCUGUAUGCUUUUCUUUUAUGAUGCAUGCUUGCUUGUUC